rnacentral:rRNA from 1 species
GAUGAACGCUGGCGGCGUGCCUAACACAUGCAAGUCGAACGGAGUUUAUAUUAUGAAGUUUUCGGAUGGAAUGAUAUAAACUUAGUGGCGGACGGGUGAGUAACGCGUGGGUAACCUGCCUCAUACAGGGGGAUAACAGUUGGAAACGACUGCUAACACCGCAUAAGCAUACAGUAUCGCAUGAUACAGUGUGAAAAUAUUUAUAGGUAUGAGAUGGGCCCGCGUCUGAUUAGCUAGUUGGUGAGGUAAAGGCUCACCAAGGCGACGAUCAGUAGCCGGCUUGAGAGAGUGACCGGCCACAUUGGGACUGAGACACGGCCCAAACUCCUACGGGAGGCAGCAGUGGGGAAUAUUGCACAAUGGGGGAAACCCUGAUGCAGCGACGCCGCGUGAGUGAAGAAGUAUUUCGGUAUGUAAAAGCUCUAUCAGCAGGGAGAAAAUGACGGUACCUGACUAAGAAGCCCCGGCUAACUACGUGCCCAGCAGACCC